UGCCUGAUGGAGGGGGAUAACUACUGGAAACGGUAGCUAAUACCGCAUAACGUCGCAAGACCAAAGAGGGGGACCUUCGGGCCUCUUGCCAUCGGAUGUGCCCAGAUGGGAUUAGCUAGUAGGUGGGGUAACGGCUCACCUAGGCGACGAUCCCUAGCUGGUCUGAGAGGAUGACCAGCCACACUGGAACUGAGACACGGUCCAGACUCCUACGGGAGGCAGCAGUGGGGAAUAUUGCACAAUGGGCGCAAGCCUGAUGCAGCCAUGCCGCGUGUAUGAAGAAGGCCUUCGGGUUGUAAAGUACUUUCAGCGGGGAGGAAGGGAGUAAAGUUAAUACCUUUGCUCAUUGACGUUACCCGCAGAAGAAGCACCGGCUAACUCCGUGCCAGCAGCCGCGGUAAUACGGAGGGUGCAAGCGUUAAUCGGAAUUACUGGGCGUAAAGCGCACGCAGGCGGUUUGUUAAGUCAGAUGUG
rnacentral:rRNA from 1 species